GAGGAGUCUAAGAAGUCCCGCAAACAUGGUAGUGACCGAAAAAAAUCAAGGAAGCACGCAUAUUCACCUGAAUCAGACAGUGAGAGUAGGCACAGAAGGCACAAGAGAGAUCAUCGAGAUGGUUCCCGUAGAAAUCACGAUGAACUUGAAGAUGGGGAGCUUGGCGAGGAUGGGGAAAUUCAAUAGUUCUUUGCUUUCCAUAUCUGGAUUUUGCUUCUACGUUUCGGGGGGGCCAGCCGUUCACGAGCAUGAUCGAUUGAUGCGAUUUGAAGAGUUAGUGGUGGUAAACUUCCGGAAAGGAUUCUUUUGAAGAGGAGAUGAAGGGUGACCCAGUUAUCAUUCUUCCAUUGUCUGUUAGUGGAUACAUACUUCUGUAGUGUUCUUUAUAGGAGUUAGUGGCGUAUAUGAACCAGCCAUUUGAUUGGAAGCCAUUUUAUUUAUUUU
rnacentral:misc_RNA from 1 species